UACGGAGGGUGCAAGCAUUAAUCGGAGUUAUUGGGCGUAAAGGGCGCGUAGGCGGGGAUAAAAGUCAGAUGUGAAAUCCCGGGGCUCAACCUCGGAACUGCAUUUGAAACUCUAUUUCUAGAGGGUAGGCGGGGAAAACGGAAUUCCAUAAGUAGCGGUGAAAUGCGUUGAGAUAUGGAGGAACACCGGUGGCGAAGGCGGUUUUCUAGCUUACACCUGACGCUGAGGCGCGAAAGCAAGGGGAUCAAAC
rnacentral:rRNA from 1 species